GCCUACGGGAGGCAGCAGUGGGGAAUAUUGCACAAUGGGGGGAACCCUGAUGCAGCGACGCCGCGUGGGUGAAGAAGUCAUUCGUGACGUAAAGCCCUAUCAGCAGGGAAGAAAAUGACGGUACCUGACUAAGAAGCCCCGGCUAACUACGUGCCAGCAGCCGCGGUAAUACGUAGGGGGCAAGCGUUAUCCGGAUUUACUGGGUGUAAAGGGAGCGUAGGUGGCAUGGCAAGCCAGAAGUGAAAACCCGGGGCUUAACCCCGCAGAUUGCUUUUGGAACUGUCAGGCUGGAGUGCAGGCGGGGG
rnacentral:rRNA from 1 species